UGGGGAAUCUUGGACAAUGGGGGCAACCCUGAUCCAGCGACGCCGCGUGGGUGACGAAGGCCUUAGGGUUGUAAAGCCCUUUUCUCGGGGAAGAUGAUGACGGUACCCGAGGAAUAAGCACCGGCUAACUCCGUGCCAGCAGCCGCGGUAAGACGGAGGGUGCUAGCGUUGUUCGGAAUUACUGGGCGUAAAGGGCGCGUAGGCGGCCAGGGAAGUCGGAUGUGAAAGCCCGGGGCUCAACCUCGGAAUUGCAUUCGAAACUUCUUGGCUAGAGAACGGAAGAGGAGAGUGGAAUACCCAGUGUAGAGGUGAAAUUCGUAGAUAUUGGGUGGAACACCGGUGGCGAAAGCGGCUCUCUGGUCCGGUUCUGACGCUGAGGCGCGAAAGCGUGGGGAGCAAACAGGAUUAGAUACCCCCGUAGUCC
rnacentral:rRNA from 1 species